rnacentral:rRNA from 1 species
UGGGGAAUAUUGCACAAUGGGCGCAAGCCUGAUGCAGCGACGCCGCGUGAGGGAUGACGGCCUGGUUGUAACUCUUCUACCCACUGACGAAGCGCAAGUGACGGUAGUGGGAG